GGCCAAGGGGACUGGGAUGAUCGACUUCGCAUCCGUCGACAAGCAUUUUUAUAGCCAUUCAGCCGUGGAUACGGCCGAAACUAAGCGUAAACGUGAAGAGGGGCGUGUGCAUCAGUGAGCCUGCAGAUGUUUGUUUACAUCGUUCAUACGCCCCGAUUUCGGCUCGGCAAGACCGUUAACGAGUCGAUUUCGGCGCCGAAAACUUCGGCAACUGGGUGCCGACGUUUUGCCCACAGGGUACGGCAAAUGAUUUCGUCGUAAACCCCAUUAUCUCGUGAAAAUCAGUGGUGGCCGAUUUCUCUCGCCCUGAUGACUUCAUCGGGAACUUCUGGAGGACAGGGUCGACAACGGACAGAACAACCUGAUCAACUGGGGUACGGAGAAGUGCCUCGUCAAUCGUCAGGUGGACCCAGACGCAGCUGGUCUGGCCAAACUGCAGGAAUUUAAUCCGCAUUGGGAGACAUGAAAAUUAGCCAAACCAACCUGAUCGCUGUCAGCACCAAGUUUUGCACCAUGAUUCCCCCACAGUGCUGGACUGAAAUGCAACUUAGUAUCCCCGUUCAGGGUGGUGCCCUAUUAAUCUAGAAAAACCUUUUGACUGCCACGCAAGAAGAUUGAUUUUUUUAAUAAUAGUGCUGGUCUGAGUAGAUUUAUCAGUUGUAUGCUGCGUAUUUUCCUUCUGUCAUGUUUUUGGGAUGUACAGGAUAUAAGCUUGGCAUGAAAGUAGUAUCACAACCGCACAAUAUUUGGUCUAUAAAAAACUUGUAUAUAAAGAAUAAAAUACGGUCAAAUGAUUU